rnacentral:snoRNA from 1 species
AUCCAAAUAAAAAUGGAGGCCUUGUGGGGGUUCUAUGUGCACUGGCUUUAAACAGCAGCCUCCAUGGUACUGCAAACAGCCUGGUGCUCAUACAAGUUGUCCUAAGGAACCUUGGAGACAGUU